AUUGAACGCUGGCGGCAUGCCUUACACAUGCAAGUCGAACGGCAGCACGGGAGCAAUCCUGGUGGCGAGUGGCGAACGGGUGAGUAAUAUAUCGGAGCGUGCCCAGUCGUGGGGGAUAACGCAGCGAAAGCUGUGCUAAUACCGCAUACGAUCUACGGAUGAAAGCGGGGGAUCGCAAGACCUCGCGCGAUUGGAGCGGCCGAUAUCAGAUUAGCUAGUUGGUGGGGUAAAGGCCCACCAAGGCGACGAUCUGUAGCUGGUCUGAGAGGACGACCAGCCACACUGGAACUGAGACACGGUCCAGACUCCUACGGGAGGCAGCAGUGGGGAAUUUUGGACAAUGGGCGCAAGCCUGAUCCAGCAAUGCCGCGUGCAGGAUGAAGGCCUUCGGGUUGUAAACUGCUUUUGUACGGAACGAAACGGCCCUUUCUAAUACAGGGGGCUAAUGACGGUACCGCAAGAAUAAGCACCGGCUAACUACGUGCCAGCCGCCGCCGUAAUAC
rnacentral:rRNA from 1 species